UGGUUCCAAUUUAAUUUCAGGAUAGUUAGCACACAUUUUGCAAGAGCAAUGACUUUGGAUAACUGCGAAAUUAUUGAAGAAACGCGAAACAAAAGAGUAAAACAAUCAAAAAUAAUCCACACACCAAACAAUAAAUCAAGAAAUCAAUUCACCAAUCAUUCAAUCAAGCAGUGAACAAAGUAUUAAAUCAAUAAUUGUACCAAUGUUUAACACAUAGAAAAAUAAAAACUCAACAAUU